UACGGGGGGAGCAAGCGUUGUUCGGAUUUACUGGGCGUAAAGGGCGCGUAGGCGGUAGCACAAGUCAGUUGUGAAAUCUCCGGGCUUAACUCGGAAAGGUCAACUGAUACUGUGCGACUAGAGUGCAGAAGGGGCAACUGGAAUUCUCGGUGUAGCGGUGAAAUGCGUAGAUAUCGGGAGGAACACCAGUGGCGAAGGCGGCUUCCUGGCCUGUUCUUGACGCUGAGGCGCGAAAGCUAGGGGAGCAAACGGG
rnacentral:rRNA from 1 species